rnacentral:rRNA from 2 species
CAAGUCGAACGAUGAAGGGGAGCUUGCUCCCUGGAUUAGUGGCGAACGGGUGAGUAACACGUGAGCAACCUGCCCCUAACUCUGGGAUAACGCUUCGAAAGGAGUGCUAAUACCGGAUACCAGCACGGAGGACAUCCUCUGUGCUUGAAAGUUUUUCGGUUAGGGAUGGGCUCGCGGCCUAUCAGCUAGUUGGUGAGGUAAAAGCUCACCAAGGCGACGACGGGUAUCCGGCCUGAGAGGGCGACCGGACACACUGGGACUGAGACACGGCCCAGACUCC